rnacentral:other from 1 species
AGGAUACUGCGCGGUGCGUGAGGCCAAUCACUCCGGACCGAUGCUUACUCUUAGGGAGCUGUCCCUGACCUCGGCCGUGGCCUUGGUUAAACGGCACCCACCUGUACUAACAGGUCACGAGAGGAUUUAUGUGCGCUCACGGCCAGCGCGGUUCCUUC